rnacentral:rRNA from 1 species
GAUGAACGCUGGCGGCGUGCCUAAUACAUGCAAGUCGAGCGAACGGACGAGAAGCUUGCUUCUCUGAUGUUAGCGGCGGACGGGUGAGUAACACGUGGAUAACCUACCUAUAAGACUGGGAUAACUUCGGGAAACCGGAGCUAAUACCGGAUAAUAUUUUGAACCGCAUGGUUCAAAAGUGAAAGACGGUCUUGCUGUCACUUAUAGAUGGAUCCGCGCUGCAUUAGCUAGUUGGUAAGGUAACGGCUUACCAAGGCAACGAUGCAUAGCCGACCUGAGAGGGUGAUCGGCCACACUGGAACUGAGACACGGUCCAGACUCCUACGGGAGGCAGCAGUAGGGAAUCUUCCGCAAUGGGCGAAAGCCUGACGGAGCAACGCCGCGUGAGUGAUGAAGGUCUUCGGAUCGUAAAACUCUGUUAUUAGGGAAGAACAUAUGUGUAAGUAACUGUGCACAUCUUGACGGUACCUAAUCAGAAAGCCACGGCUAACUACGUGCCAGCAGCCGCGGUAAUACGUAGGUGGCAAGCGUUAUCCGGAAUUAUUGGGUGUAAAGCGCGCGUAGGCGGUUUUUUAAGUCUGAUGUGAAAGCCCACGGCUCAACCGUGGAGGGUCAUUGGAAACUGGAAAACUUGAGUGCAGAAGAGGAAAGUGGAAUUCCAUGUGUAGCGGUGAAAUGCGCAGAGAUAUGGAGGAACACCAGUGGCGAAGGCGACUUUCUGGUCUGUAACUGACGCUGAUGUGCGAAAGCGUGGGGAUCAAACAGGAUUAGAUACCCUGGUAGUCCACGCCGUAAACGAUGAGUGCUAAGUGUUAGGGGGUUUCCGCCCCUUAGUGCUGCAGCUAACGCAUUAAGCACUCCGCCUGGGGAGUACGACCGCAAGGUUGAAACUCAAAGGAAUUGACGGGGACCCGCACAAGCGGUGGAGCAUGUGGUUUAAUUCGAAGCAACGCGAAGAACCUUACCAAAUCUUGACAUCCUUUGACAACUCUAGAGAUAGAGCCUUCCCCUUCGGGGGACAAAGUGACAGGUGGUGCAUGGUUGUCGUCAGCUCGUGUCGUGAGAUGUUGGGUUAAGUCCCGCAACGAGCGCAACCCUUAAGCUUAGUUGCCAUCAUUAAGUUGGGCACUCUAAGUUGACUGCCGGUGACAAACCGGAGGAAGGUGGGGAUGACGUCAAAUCAUCAUGCCCCUUAUGAUUUGGGCUACACACGUGCUACAAUGGACAAUACAAAGGGCAGCGAACCCGCGAGGUCAAGCAAAUCCCAUAAAGUUGUUCUCAGUUCGGAUUGUAGUCUGCAACUCGACUACAUGAAGCUGGAAUCGCUAGUAAUCGUAGAUCAGCAUGCUACGGUGAAUACGUUCCCGGGUCU